ensembl:lncRNA
CAGGGGUGGCAGGGGGGUGGCACUGAGAUGUCACCUGUCACCCACCCCCGUGGGGCGCUGCCUCAAUGGAGCUCCUUGUGCCGCUGUGGUGCCACCCCGGUGCCAAUCCCACUCGUGGGGACACAGAUGCCGCAUUGUCCCGGCCUCGGGGACACGUGGGGACACCGAGGGGACACCGAGGGGACACCGAGGGGCUCGCUGCGGGUGGGGGGGGUGGGGCAGCUCUGCUCAUCCCGGGAUUUUGGGGAGGGGGAUGGGAGGGGCGGGAUUCCCGAGAUUCCUGGGAUUCCUGGGAUUCCUGGAUUUCGGGAUUCCGGGAUUUUGGGAUUUCAGGAUGCCGGGAUUCCGGGAUUUUGGGAUUCCCGGGAUUUCGGGAUUUCGGGAUUUUGGGAUUCCCGGGAUUUUGGGAUUCCCGGAUUCCCGAGAUUUGAGGAUUUGGGGAUUCCGGGAUUUCCGGGAUUCCGGGAUUUUGGGAUUCCCAGGAUUUCGGGAUUCCCGGAUUCCAGGAUUUUGGGAUUCCCAGGAUUCUCAGGAUUCCCAGGAUUUUGGGAUUUCAGGAUUUUGGGAUUCCCGGGAUUUUGGGAUUCCCGGGAUUCCGGCAUUCCCGGGAUUUUGGGAUUCCGGGAUCUCGGGGCCGUCACAGCGCCGCCAGCGCGGCCGAGGACAGCACGGUCAGGGCCAGCACCAGCAGCCCCGACUGCGUCACCUGCGGCAGCUUCAGCCCCUUGCCCAGGUCCCAGGCCUGCGGAGACAGCGGGGACAGCGGCGUCACUUUGU